rnacentral:pre_miRNA from 1 species
GAUGUACUCCCUCCGUCCGAAAAUAGUUGUCAUCAAAAUGGAUGAAAAGGGAUGUAUCUAGAACUAAAAUACGUCUAGAUACAUCUCCUUUAAUCCAUUUUGAUGACAAGUAUUUCCGGACGGAGGGAGUAUUGA